AUGUGCCCCAUAGAUCCACAUAACCACCCCACAGCUGCCCCCCACAAGUGCCCCCCAACCACCCCACCGACCCCCCCCCCCUAUUACUCACCCCAUCCCCGGGUGCCAGCGCGGGGGCUCAGCUCAAGGGUCCCAGGGGUCCUGGGGGUCUUUGCUCUCCCCAAUUCGGGGGUCCCGGGGGUCCUCGUCCCCCCCAUGUCUGGGAUCCUGGGGGUCCCAGCCCUCCCCAAUUCGGGGGUCCCAGGGGUCCUUGUCCCCCCCAUGUCUGGGCUCCUGGGGGUCCCAGCCCUCCCCAUUUCGGGGGUCCCGGGGGUCCUGGGGCUUUGGGUUCCCCCCAUAUCGGGGGUCCUGGCUCUCCCCA
rnacentral:lncRNA from 1 species